GGCUGUCGUCAGCUCGUGUCGUGAGAUGUUCGGUUAAGUCCGCUAACGAGCGCAACCCUCACUGUGUGUUAUAUGUGUCACACGGGACUGCCGGUUUUAAGCCGGAGGAAGGUGGGGAUGACGUCAAGUCAGCAUGGCCUUUAUAUCCUGGGCUACACACACGCUACAAUGGUCGGUACAAUAGGUUGCCAAGCCGCGAGGCGGAGCCAAUCCACAAAGCCGGCCUCAGUUCAGAUUGUAGGCUGCAACUCGCCUGCAUGAAGAUGGAGUUGCUAGUAACCGCAGGUCAGCAAUACUGCGGUGAAUACGUUCCCGGGUCUU
rnacentral:rRNA from 1 species